UCAUGAAGAUGUUUAGAUCUAAACCACGCCAUCGUAGCGCUGACUGCAGGUUUCUGGUUGUCCUGCUGGAAGCUGAACCAUCAUCGUACCCCUAGCAGGUUUUCUUCCAGGGUUGCCAUGUUUUCAGCUCCAUCCACCUUUCCUGUCACUGCUGGAAAGAGUUAUUCCCACAUCAUGAUGCUGCCACCGCCAUGUCUCACCAUAGGGAUGGUGGUUUUAGUUUCCACCACUCUUAGCAUCUUGCUUGUAGGCCUUAGAGGGGAAGGUUUGGUCUCAUCUGGCCAGACCUCCUUAUUUACAAUAUGUGCUGUGAGGCAAACUACAAAUAAGACUUUUCUGAGGCUUUCUUACAAUAAUGUUUUUGUUGCUGCCACUCUUCCACAAAGGACAGAUUAUUUAGUCUCUACCAGGCUGUAACAUCGCUGCUUAAAUACCAGCUUGACUUGUUUACCUGUAUCUGCUGCAGUGACAGGCCUUAUGAUGAUUGUAACCAAUGGAGGGAGUUUUUUUCACUGGUUCUCCUAAACCCUGAAGAUUGGAGCCAACAUCUGAAUGUCCAGACCUGAUAGCAACGACUGUAGCGUCUCUGCAGGGCACCAAACAGGCUAGGACCGCCCCUGGAUGUGAGGACCCAGAGUGGACUGGGGAAAGUUGGCUGAAGAUCUGCAGAGAAUCCAACAGGCUCCAUUCUCUGGAUCUGUGGAGGUGAGUUUCAAACAUCUGGUUCCAGUCAACAACAAGGAGCUGAUUAGAUGUUUCUCCAGGUGUUGAUGUGGUUUCAGAGAU